UUUGCCUACGGGGGGCAGCAGUGAGGAAUAUUGGUCAAUGGCCGAGAGGCUGAACCAGCCAAGUCGCGUGAGGGAAGACGGCCCUACGGGUUGUAAACCUCUUUUGUCGGGGAACAAAGGGCGCCACGCGUGGCGUUGUGAGUGUACCCGAAGAAAAAGCAUCGGCUAACUCCGUGCCAGCAGCCGCGGUAAUACGGAGGAUGCGAGCGUUAUCCGGAUUUAUUGGGUUUAAAGGGUGCGUAGGCGGUCCGGAAAGUCAGCGGUAAAAGCCCGGGGCUCAACCCCGGCGAGCCGUUGAAACUGUC
rnacentral:rRNA from 1 species